ensembl:lncRNA
ACAACAAGUAAGUACUGAUUUAAUGAUCUAUAAACACUAUCUUAAAUUAUACUAUCAACAUGCCCUACUGUCACAAAUAUCACAUAGAACAUCUGUAGUACCAGUUUAGUCUUUGUAGCUUCAAAAGUAAAUGUACACAAUAAGAUGCAUUUACAAUAAAAUAUACUUGCAUGUAUGCUCACUCUCUCUCUCUUAUAUAUAUUAGGGCUGUCAAUCGAUUAAAAAAAAUUAAUUAAUCGCACAUUUUGAAAUUAAUUAAUGUUGUUUAACACUGUUGUUUAAUUGUUGUUUAAUUGUAUUUUUUUUUAAAACACAAUGGUGCCCCUCGACGGUAAAUCGAUCAUCUAACCUGGGACUGCUUUCUGUCGGGUGCUUUGCAUUAAGCUUCUACUCCAACCUCAAAUGAAGACCUCUCGGUGGAGUAUGCAGCUUCUAUUUGUCAGGCUUUUCUCGGGGAUUGCACCCGAGAUGCUGGAUGUGGGGAACCAGCGCUUAGCCCAGUGUGCUAAUGAGAGGACCCAAUGGCAGGAUGAUGUUCUCAAUGGUUCUUUUAUUGAGAAACAAGGAUGCUUCAACAGCGAGAAACAAACACACAGAAGAUAAUCCAAACUCAGGAGAUAAUCCAAAAGCACAGAGGAUAUGAACAGGGCAAAAGGCCAUAAACUAAACAAGAUACAAAAUGUAGCUUUCACAAUAGCUACCUGAUGAAGGCUUUAAGAAGCCGAAAGCGGUUAGGGACCGCAACGAGAGACAGAAGCGGUGUGAGAACCGCAACAAGACACCAACCGGAACUAGCUAAGACUAGCGGCACCUGAGUGCGUGCGAUGGCUGCGUGUCCUUGAGGAAAGACUUCUAACGACCCGAUCAGGGCCACAGAGAUUAGCCAGGUAUUUAUACCCUGGCUAAUAGAGGGAAGUGACAAUCACAAAAACGCAAGACAGGUGAGAGCACACAAUGGGGAACAGGUGAGAACACAAAUCACAAUGGGGAACAGGUGAGGGCACACAAAGACAACAAAGGCACAUGUGGACACAAAUUAGUUCAUGAUGUCCCUUGGCCACCAGAGGCCGCCAAUGUGCCAAAUGGUUGCCCGAAGUCGUGACACUACUCCAACCUCAUAUGAAGACUUAUCAGUGGAUGACUACUAUGAGUUUUUAAGGUCUGUUGUUGCAUAAUUUCAACUAAUAAGUUGAUAGUGAAUUAAGGGCCCUUUCUGAGUUUUUUCAUUAAACACUCGUUUUGCUGUUGUUUUAGUUUUUUAGAAUACAACCAUCUAUUUAAUGACUUGACAGAACCAAGUAAGUACCUGUAUCUGAUUCACAGCACAAAUUAGCAAUAUUCAAAUUGUAAGGCUCAAGGCCCGUUUGUUUUUUUUUGUUUCUGAAAUAUACUUAUAUUAGUGGAUCCAGUGGAGCAUUUACAUAUUUGAAUGACACUAUUGCAAAGAUCUUCCCUAAAUUCUAUGAGAUGUUUUUUUUUGCUUUUUAUUGUAUAUAUAUCGUUUAAACUGAAAAUGUCAUAGCACUUUCCUUGUGCAUUUCAGCCUUUUCAAAUCCCCAUGUCAGACUGGCCAGAUGGAUGGACAGUGAUGACAAUUUCAUCGUUGGAUGUGUCCAUGAGAGUCACCUAGAAGGCUGGAUCUUCUUGAGUGUAAUAGGAGGAACAAACGUCACUGUACUUGACCCAAAUGUCACCACAGCAGCGUGAUCCUUCUUUGAUAUUACUAUGACGCCACCUGUCUCUAUCACCUGUGUACUUGAACUGCAUGGGGAAAACCUAACUAGUGAAAAGUUCACACUCCCCCAUUAUGAUUCAUAGCCAGGAUUCCAUUUGCAGGAUUCAUGGGCCUUUUUCUCAUUGCCAUGACCUUGGUGGUGAUCGUGCUAACCUUGAGAGGAAAACAAGCAGGCCCAGACAAGACCACCUAUGAGGAAAGUAGCACCGUGUAAUCUUUUAUACGCAAAUGUUCUGUUCACGAUGUCCACAUAAAUGCUUACUCGUGCGUUUCUUCUAGUAUCUUCUAUUUCUUCUUCUUGAUACAACCAGUGUAUUGUUCAUGACCACAACAUACCUUAGUCUUUUGGAUUGUCUGCAUAUAGCAAAUGUAUUGCUUACAUGAUGGUUAAGAAUGCAUAUGGAUGUUCAGCUGAUGUGCCAACUACUGACUGGUGUAAUUUGAUCAAAAUGUAUUUGACCUCUUCCAUUUACAUGACAUUGUGCUAUUGUUGUCUGAUAAUUCUCUCUCAUUUGACAAUAAAAUACUUUUACCUUUGGUUUGAGUGCUUGAGACAAAAUAAUUCUAGUCUUCUUUCUUUAUCUUUAAUUCCAUCAUGCUGAAGCAGACAGUUAGCAAGACAUAUGUUCAGCUGUGUCACUAGCUGUUUAUACUAUUUCGUAGUCUUUGUUUUAAUUGGGAAUGUUAUUUGACAAUCUUAAUAAUAAAUUCUAGUCAUUCUAAUUUUUGGUGGUGGGGUUAAAAAAAGGAAGGGCUGUGGUUAUCAGUAGGGAAGAAAACUGUGACGUGAAACAAAGAAUGUAGAAACACAUCGUAGAAGAAAAGAGGGGAACAGAUAAUGAACAUAACAAAAUGCACAGUUACAUUGAAAGACCAAAACCAAGUUUGGAAGAACCUCUUCUUUCUAUUUCAGCUUUAACUCUAACAACUAUGAUCCUUGUGAACCUCCCAAAUCAUAGCCCUUCCCAUGAACGCUGGAAAUAUGUAAUGGCGGUAAGAACUCUUUCCACAUUGCUUUUUGAACAAAAACGGGAUGGACACAGUCAUUCAUUUUAACAUGUUGCAUGCGAAGAUAACUUUAGGAGUUACGGGAGUGCCUGAGCAGAGACUGUGCCAUAACUACUGCCUUUAUAUUUUCACUCAUCCAGCAGAAUCUGAGCCUGAAGGCGUCAAAAUUUGGUAUUUAUAUUACAAUUCCAUGCAAACUAUUUACAACUAUGCACUACACUAGAAAAAAAGAAUAGGUUGGAAAAAAUCUUAAACCUAUGUAGUUUAUGUAAUUGAAACCUACCUUUGGAAAAUAGCUUGCAGCUGGAAGGUUCAGAAUACUGGUGUGAAGUGGUGAAGAAUGUUAAGACCAGAGCCCAGCGAAAAGCCUUAGGAAAAAUGUAAACAAUCAAACUGACGCGCUGUUUAUGAAACGUAUCCUGUUGUUGCGUGUUACUGUCAACGACCGCAUUUCUUGUAAAACAUGUGCACAUACACAAAAUUAAAAUGGUAC